CUGCCGGUGACUGUCCUCAGAAGCUUCUUGUCAAACCCUCACUACCGGUCAGCAGGACCCGGGAGAUUCUUCCCACUCUUUGGCCGCUGACUCUCUCCCGAAGGGACAGCUGUGAGCCUGUCGAGUCUCUGCCAAGAAGCCAGCUGAUCGGGCUGGCCACAGGAGAGAUGCCCCAAACCGACCCGGCCUCCCACUCACCUUGAAGAAAUUCUGAGACACAAUCUCUCUGACCACGGAGAAGGGGGAACAAUUGAAAGACACUCCUGAAACCAAGGAUUCGGUGGCCACACAUGCUGCGCGGAAGGAGGGUGGAGAGGAGAGAGUGAAGCUCUGCAGAAACUGGCAGUGCUCCCUGACUUUCUGGUCCAUCUCGCUACCCAGAGGCAGACAGGAAGCCUUCAGCCACCUAGCCUGAUAUCCCAGCAGCUCUUGUAACCUUCCUCUGCCUUAAAGUCAUCCUUCUGUUGACCAUG